rnacentral:lncRNA from 1 species
UGCUGAGCUAUUCAAAAUAAGGCAUUAUAAAAGAGAGUCUUCUCCACUGGACUGGCCUGUGCUGGCACAAUGAAUUUCUUCUUCUAAGUAAACAGAGAAAGCUAUUUGGGCGAUGAAGAUUGCAUCCAUCUUGACAGUGCUAGGACUUCCCACUUUUGUAAACCUAAUAAUUAACUUAUGUCAAGCUUCCUAAAAGUGUUCACAGGGUCCUGACACUCUCCACAUGUACAGCAACAUUAUUACUUUUUAAAUACGAGACAGUGGUUUCCUCCAACAGAAAAUGCAUUUGCCCUCAACGUCUAAGGCAUUCAGCCACUAAAAUCAUCACCAAGGAAAAGUGGAGGAUGCAGAUGGAAAGGUAGCUGCUAUCUCCUUUAAAUAUCUCCUGGUGCCCAAGUGCCAGAAGUUCUCUUCGGCAGUGCCUCCCAGUCUUUUCCACAUCAUGGCACCGUCAGACCACACUCACCUGACCUGACCCAACUUGCUGGGCCUAGAGCUGCUCUGACGCCACUCAAAGACCCCCACAGCACAGCCGUGACUUCUCCCUAACACCGUCUACCACUACAGAUAAGUUAAAGCCUCUGCUAUCAGGCAACUGGUCACAAGGAAAGGCAAGCAGGCCCCACUGCAUCCCUGCAAGUGCAGGACCAGUCUUCAACAGUGACAUCUUAUGGCUGAAGUGUGGAAUGGUGCUGUCAUCCUUCUGACAGAAUGAUCAUUUGGACUUCCUGGGCAAUGCGGAAGCAAGGGUGGACCUCAAAAAUGAAAUACUGAAC